rnacentral:lncRNA from 1 species
GGAACCAGAUCUUGAUCUGGCGCUCGGACAGGCAGAGUGCGUGGGCGAUCUCGAUGCGCCGUCGCCGGGUCAGCCGUUUCCUCUCCCUCGCCGGCCUCGGCGGAGAUUCCAGGCCCUAUAGAAACCAGGACGUCCCUUAGCGCCACCGCCUCACAUGCCAGUGCUGCCGGGAACCCAGCGAUAUCCGCACCAGCGGAGAAGGUUCCAGGCUGCCGGCGGCGGCGCAGAGAGCGGGAAGAGAGGCUCGGAGGAAGCCCCGGGCGUGGCGUGGUCAGGCUCCGAGAGCGGCCGGGAUGCGGCCACACCGGCCUGGUAAACUCGCACCUCUUAGGAUCUUGCUCCCGGACUCAUUCCCUUCCCCACCCCCUAUUUUAAAGUUUUAUUUGGGUCGUCUGUAUCAAUUUAGAACGAGAUAAAUUAAGACAAAGAAAGUAAAAUAAAUCGAAAUAAAAUAUAGGAAUAGCUCUUGGCGAAAAAAAAAAAAAAAAAAAAAAAAAAAAAAAAAAAAAAAAAA